GCGGAGGUACCCAAGCGGCUAAGGGGCGCGCCUGCAGAGCGUGUAUCCAUGGGUUCGAGUCCCAUCCUCCGCU
rnacentral:tRNA from 1 species